CGUAGCGGAUCAGAACCUAUUUGUAGACAUAUGGACGUUAUUUUCGGGUGCAAUAUCCUCUUCACUGCUAUAUUCGGAUGUUAUUUUUAGUAUUGCCGGUGUAGCUAGUAGCUAGCUGUUUCUCACAUCCAAACAAACCCACAACAUCAUGACAACACUACCAGUACGUACUCCGAUAAAAAAGGCUACGAAUCAUUUGAACCUUCAAUUGAUCAUAUAGGAGCUGUUAACAGCUUCCCUCUGCCUUCUAGACUCCCUCUGUCUUCUAGACUCCUUCUGUCUCACAUAAGGAUCAUGAGCCUAUAAAUAUAUGCCUAAACCUUUCAAAAGUUUCACCCUCAUUUGAAAUAUAUACAAAUUCCUGCAACUUUAAUUCAUUCGAGAGGAUUUAUAUCAAUCAUGAAGAACUCCGGAAGAUUUGUCGUGUUGUUUUUGGUCCUGUCUUCAUGUCUGCUCUCCCUUUCUGAAGGAAGUAUAAAAUUCUGCCCAGCAGAAAUGAAGGCUCAAGGCCAAUGUAGCGGCAUGUUUGGAACAGCCGAUUGCUUCCAUCAGAUGAGGGCCAAAUACGGAGAAGCCCCAUCUCCGCCUACAAAUUGCAAAUGCACUCCCAUUCCCAACGAUCUGCAGAAUUACAAGUGCAAAUGCGAUGUUGCUUGUUAAUGCGCAGGCGCUGCAAUAGCUAGCUAGGUGUGUGCAUGCCGCCGUCUCAUGCAUGCCUAGCAUUAAUCUGAUCUGGAUUCAUGUAUAUAUAUCCUCGUCGAUCUUCUUCUUCUUCUUCUUCUUCUUUUCAAUAAAAGGAGAGACCGGGGGCAACCGGCAUAUCAUCGUCGAUCUUAAUUUGUAACUUCUUCAAUAUUGUCUAGACUUAUUGAUAUAUAUAACAAUAAUGAUUGACUCUCUUCUCACACAAA